rnacentral:rRNA from 1 species
AACGAACGCUGGCGGCAUGCCUAAUACAUGCAAGUCGAACGAUCACUUCGGUGGUAGUGGCGCACGGGUGCGUAACGCGUGGGAAUCUACCCUUGGGUUCGGAAUAACAGUUAGAAAUGACUGCUAAUACCGGAUGAUGACGAAAGUCCAAAGAUUUAUCGCCCAAGGAUGAGCCCGCGUAGGAUUAGCUAGUUGGUGAGGUAAAAGCUCACCAAGGCGACGAUCCUUAGCUGGUCUGAGAGGAUGAUCAGCCACACUGGGACUGAGACACGGCCCAGACUCCUACGGGAGGCAGCAGUAGGGAAUAUCGGACAAUGGGGGCAACCCUGAUCCAGCAAUGCCGCGUGAGUGAUGAAGGCCUUAGGGUUGUAAAGCUCUUUUACCCGAGAUGAUAAUGACAGUAUCGGGAGAAUAAGCUCCGGCUAACUCCGUGCCAGCAGCCGCGGUAA